AGUGAACGCUGGCGGUAGGCCUAACACAUGCAAGUCGAACGGCAGCACAGUAAGAGCUUGCUCUUACGGGUGGCGAGUGGCGGACGGGUGAGGAAUACAUCGGAAUCUACUUUUUCGUGGGGGAUAACGUAGGGAAACUUACGCUAAUACCGCAUACGACCUACGGGUGAAAGCAGGGGAUCUUCGGACCUUGCGCGAUUGAAUGAGCCGAUGUCGGAUUAGCUAGUUGGCGGGGUAAAGGCCCACCAAGGCGACGAUCCGUAGCUGGUCUGAGAGGAUGAUCAGCCACACUGGAACUGAGACACGGUCCAGACUCCUACGGGAGGCAGCAGUGGGGAAUAUUGGACAAUGGGCGCAAGCCUGAUCCAGCCAUACCGCGUGGGUGAAGAAGGCCUUCGGGUUGAAAAGCCCUUUUGUUGGGAAAGAAAAGCAGCAGGUUAAUACCCCGCUGUUCUGACGGUACCCAAAGAAUAAGCACCGGCCAACUUCGUG
rnacentral:rRNA from 1 species